GAUGAACGCUGGCGGCGUGCCUAAUACAUGCAAGUCGAGCGAACAGACGAGGAGCUUGCUCCUCUGACGUUAGCGGCGGACGGGUGAGUAACACGUGGAUAACCUACCUAUAAGACUGGGAUAACUUCGGGAAACCGGAGCUAAUACCGGAUAAUAUAUUGAACCGCAUGGUUCAAUAGUGAAAGACGGUUUUGCUGUCACUUAUAGAUGGAUCCGCGCCGCAUUAGCUAGUUGGUAAGGUAACGGCUUACCAAGGCAACGAUGCGUAGCCGACCUGAGAGGGUGAUCGGCCACACUGGAACUGAGACACGGUCCAGACUCCUACGGGAGGCAGCAGUAGGGAAUCUUCCGCAAUGGGCGAAAGCUUGACGGAGCAACGCCGCGUGAGUGAUGAAGGUCUUCGGAUCGUAAAACUCUGUUAUUAGGGAAGAACAAAUGUGUAAGUAACUAUGCACGUCUUGCCGGUACCUAAUAAGAAAGCCCCGGCUACCUACGU
rnacentral:rRNA from 1 species